rnacentral:rRNA from 1 species
UACAGAGGGUGCAAGCGUUGUUCGGAAUUAUUGGGCGUAAAGGGCGCGUAGGCGGUGCGGUAAGUCUGUAGUGAAAUCUCUGGGCUCAACUCAGAGUCUGCUAUAGAAACUGCCGUGCUUGAGUGUGGGAGAGGUGAGUGGAAUUCCCGGUGUAGCGGUGUAAUGCGUAGAUAUCGGGAGGAACACCUGUGGCGAAAGCGGCUCACUGGACCACAACUGACGCUGAGGCGCGAAAGCUAGGGGAGCAAACAGG